rnacentral:rRNA from 1 species
AGAAUCAACGCUGGCGGCGUGCCUAACACAUGCAAGUCGAACGAGAAAGGGGUAGCAAUACCCUGAGUAAAGUGGCGCACGGGUGAGUAACACGUGACUAACCUACCCUGGAGUGGGGGAUAACUGAGGGAAACCUUAGCUAAUACCGCAUAAUACCCACGGGUCAAAGGAGCAAUUCGCUUCAGGAGGGGGUCGCGGCCGAUUAGUUAGUUGGCGGGGUAAUGGCCCACCAAGACGAUGAUCGGUAUCCGGCCUGAGAGGGCGCACGGACACACUGGAACUGAAACACGGUCCAGACUCCUACGGGAGGCAGCAGUGGGGAAUUUUGCGCAAUGGGGGAAACCCUGACGCAGCAACGCCGCGUGGAGGAUGAAGUACUUCGGUACGUAAACUCCUUUCGAUCGGGACGAUAAUGACGGUACCGAGAGAAGAAGCCCCGGCUAACUUCGCGCCAGCAGCCGC